GUGGGGAAUCUUCCGCAAUGGACGAAAGUCUGACGGAGCAACGCCGCGUGAACGAUGACGGCCUUCGGGUUGUAAAGUUCUGUUAUACGGGACGAAUGGUACGACGGUCAAUACCCGUCGUAAGUGACGGUACCGUAAGAGAAAGCCACGGCUAACUACGUGCCAGCAGCCGCGGUAAUACGUAGGUGGCAAGCGUUGUCCGGAAUUAUUGGGCGUAAAGGGCGCGCAGGCGGCGUCGUAAGUCGGUCUUAAAAGUGCGGGGCUUAACCCCGUGAGGGGACCGAAACUGCGAUGCUAGAGUAUCGGAGAGGAAAGCGGAAUUCCUAGUGUAGCGGUGAAAUGCGUAGAUAUUAGGAGGAACACCAGUGGCGAAAGCGGCUUUCUGGACGACAACUGACGCUGAGGCGCGAAAGCCAGGGGAGCAAACGGGAUUAGAAACCCUAGUAGUCCC
rnacentral:rRNA from 1 species